rnacentral:rRNA from 1 species
UACGGGGGGAGCAAGCGUUGUUCGGAUUUACUGGGCGUAAAGGGCGCGUAGGCGGUCAGCACAAGUCAGUUGUGAAAUCUCCGAGCUUAACUCGGAAAGGUCAACUGAUACUGUGCGACUAGAGUGCGGAAGGGGCAACUGGAAUUCUUGGUGUAGCGGUGAAAUGCGUAGAUAUCAAAAGGAACACCUGCGGCGAAGGCGGGUUGCUGGGCCGACACUGACGCUGAGGCGCGAAAGCUAGGGGAGCGAACGGG